GGAGUUGUAGCUCAAUGGUAGAGUGUUUGCCCCUCAUGCAUGAGGCCCUGGGUUGAAUCCUCAACACCA
rfam:Ictidomys tridecemlineatus contig092041, whole genome shotgun sequence.